GACCGUGUGGCCUAAUGGAUAAGGCAUCGGACUUCGAAUCCGGGGAUUGCAGGUUCGAGUCCUGUCACGGUCG
rnacentral:tRNA from 1 species